rnacentral:rRNA from 1 species
CCCGCCGGACCUGACUGCUAUCGGAUUGAUACUAAGCCAUGCGAGUCUUUGUAGUAAUACAAGGCAGACGGCUCAGUAACACGUAGUCAACCUACCCUAUGGACGAGAAUAAUCUCGGGAAACUGAGCAUAAUUCUCGAUAGAUCAUAAUGCCUGGAAUGGUUUAUGGUUAAAAUGAUUCGUCGCCAUAGGAUGGGACUGCGGCCUAUCAGCUUGUUGGUGAGGUAAUGGCCCACCAAGGCGAUUACAGGUACGGGCUCUGAGAGGAGAAGCCCGGAGAUGGGUACUGAGACACGGACCCAGGCCCUAUGGGGCGCAGCAGGCGAGAAAACUUUGCAAUGUGCGAAAGCACGACAAGGUUAAUCCGAGUGAUUUCUGCUAAAGAAAUCUUUUGUCAGUCAUAAAACCACUGACGAAUAAGGGGUGGGCAAGUUCUGGUGUCAGCCGCCGCGGUAAAACCAGCACCUCAAGUGGUCAGGAUGAUUAUUGGGCCUAAAGCAUCCGUAGCCGGCUUUGUUAGUUUUCGGUUAAAUCCAUGUGCUCAACACAUGGGCUGCCGAAAAUACUGCAUGGCUAGGGAGUGGGAGAGGUAGACGGUACUCAGUAGGAAGGGGUAAAAUCCUUUGAUCUAUUGAUGACCACCUGUGGCGAAGGCGGUCUACCAGAACACGUUCGACGGUGAGGGAUGAAAGCUGGGGGAGCAAACCGGAUUAGAUACCCGGGUAGUCCCAGCUGUAAACGAUGCAGACUCGAUGAUGCAUUGGCAUAAUAGCCAGUGCAGUGUCGCAGGGAAGCCGUUAAGUCUGCCGCCUGGGAAGUACGUACGCAAGUAUGAAACUUAAAGGAAUUGGCGGGGAGCACCACAAGGGGUGAAGCCUGCGGUUCA